rnacentral:rRNA from 1 species
UUUCGACGCAAGUUGCUUGCACAUGAAGCCAUUAGGUUGAAGGCACGUCUGCCUGGGCGUCACGC